rnacentral:rRNA from 1 species
CCUUGUACACACCGCCCGUCACACCACGAAAGUUUGUUGUACCUGAAGUCGUUGGCGCCAACCGCAAGGGGCAGACGCCCACGGUAUGACCGAUGAUUGGGGUG